AUGCAAGCAAGACCAGCGCGAUGCAAGCGUGGCCCGUGCCCACCAACGCCACCGAGCUGCGUGGGUUUCUCGGCCUCACCGGCUACUACCGGAAGUUUGUCGCCAACUACGGGGUGCUCGCCAAGCCACUCACCCAGCUCCUCACCAAGAAAGGGUUCCACUGGGACGAGCGCACCCAGGCGACAUUCGAUCUGCUCAAGCAAGCUACGUCACCCCGCCGGCAAGCUGCAGCCGCUGCCAAUUCCGACAGAACCAUGGCAUGACCUGACCAUGGAUUUUGUCGAGGGAUUGCCUACAUCGGAGGGAUUCGACACGAUCAUGGUGGUGGUCGAUCGUUUGACCAAGUUUGCCCACUUCGUGCCCCUUCGCCAUCCUUUCAAUGCAACGCAAGUGGCACGAGCCUUCUGGGACUCCAUCAUCAAGCUCCACGGUGUUCCGCACAUGAUCGUCUCUGACCGCGACAAGAUCUUCACAAGCGCCAUGUGGAGGGAAAUUCUCGCAGCCGCUGGUACCAAGCUCCUCUAUUCCACAGCAUACCAUCCACAGACGGACGGGCAGAGCGAACGGGUGAACCAGUGCCUCGAGAUGUUCCUUCGCUGUGCCAUCAAUGACCAGCCCAAGCAAUGGCGUAGGUGGCUUCCUGCAGCAGAGUUCUGGUACAAUUCAACGCAUCACUCUUCGCUUCGCUGCUCUCCGUUCAAGGCACUGUACGGGCAGGAUCCCAACUUGGGAGGACUCCCAGCUUUCAGCAGUGAGCUGCCAACCGACGCAGCCACAUGCGACCUUGACUGGGCGGCGCACACUGAGAUGCUGCGAGGCCAUCUCAAUCGAGCCCAAGACCGUUUCAAGAAGCACGCAGACAAGCACCGCUCCGAGCGCUCCUUCGCCGUUGGGGACCAAGUCCUCCUCAAGCUCCAGCCCUACGUCCAAGUCUCCGUCGCCAGCCGCCCCUGCCGCAAGCUGGCGUACAAGUUCUUUGGUCCAUUCACUGUCCUGGAGCGUGUUGGCAACCUCGCCUAUCGCCUAAAGCUGCCACCGGACGGGCGCAUUCAUCCAGUCUUCCACAUCUCCCAGCUCAAGCCGUUCGUCCCCAGCUACACUCCCGUCUUCUCAGAGCUGCCAAAGGUGCCUGAUCUGACGACGACGCCACUAAAACCCAUUGCCAUCCAGGAACGCCGCAUGGUCAAGAAAGGAGAUGCCGCCCUCACUCAGGUAUGGGUGCAAUGGUCCACUUUGCCAGCCGACGCAACCACCUGGGAAGAUUACGACGUCAUUCGGAAGCGUUUCCCUAACGCCGAGCUCUGGGAAGAUGAAGCAGCUGCUCAAGAAGGGGCGACCGUAACGCCUUCAGGUUCAGUCCAGCAGUUAACUGAACCCUGA
rnacentral:rRNA from 1 species